GAAUUACUGGGCGUAAAGCGCACGCAGGCGGUCUGUCAAGUCGGAUGUGAAAUCCCCGGGCUCAACCUGGGAACUGCAUUCGAAACUGGCAGGCUUGAGUCUUGUAGAGGGGGGUAGAAUUCCAGGUGUAGCGGUGAAAUGCGUAGAGAUCUGGAGGAAUACCGGUGGCGAAGGCGGCCCCCUGGACAAAGACUGACGCUCAGGUGCGAAAGCGUGGGGAGCAAACAGGAUUAGAUACCCUGGUAGUCCACGCCGUAAACGAUGUCUACUUGGAGGUUGUGCCCUUGAGGCGUGGCUUCCGGAGCUAACGCGUUAAGUAGACCGCCUGGGGAGUACGGCCGCAAGGUUAAAACUCAAAUGAAUUGACGGGGGCCCGCACAAGCGGUGGAGCAUGUGGUUUAAUUCGAUGCAACGCGAAGAACCUUACCUGGUCUUGACAUCCACGGAAGUUUUCAGAGAUGAGAAUGUGCCUUCGGGAACCGUGAGACAGGUGCUGCAUGGCUGUCGUCAGCUCGUGUUGUGAAAUGUUGGGUUAAGUCCCGCAACGAGCGCAAC
rnacentral:rRNA from 1 species